rnacentral:rRNA from 1 species
GGGCCAGAGGUUAUGAACUAAACUUCAAUAUUUAUAUUGAAUUGUUAUUUAUUUAAUUGUCAAUUUGUUGAUUAAAUUCAAAAAAUCUUCAAAACUUUCAACAACGGAUCUCUUGGUUCUCGCAUCGAUGAAGAACGCAGCGAAAUGCGAUAAGUAAUAUGAAUUGCAGAUUUUCGUGAAUCAUCGAAUCUUUGAACGCACAUUGCGCCCUCUGGUAUUCCAGAGGGCAUGCCUGUUUGAGCGUCAUUUCUCUCUCAAACCUUCGGGUUUGGUAUUGAGUGAUACUCUUAGUCGAACUAGGCGUUUGCUUGAAAUGUAUUGGCAUGAGUGGUACUGGAUAGUGCUAUAUGACUUUCAAUGUAUUAGGUUUAUCCAACUCGUUGAAUAGUUUAAUGGUAUAUUUCUCGGUAUUCUAGGCUCGGCCUUACAAUAAAACAAACAAGUUUGACCUCAAAUCA